rnacentral:misc_RNA from 1 species
UGUGCGGGCACCGGUCGGCCUAUGGAACCACCGUUGUGUGCUCCGUGCAUUACGUCGAAGGCAAAUACGCCCUCUAAUCGGUGUGGACUUGCACGCACCGGUCGGGCUUGAUAAUCUCAAGCCCGUAGACGACGGUUCACCUAACGCUUUCACCUAAAACGUGAAAGCGUGUCAGGUGAAGGCGUCGGCAUUAAUUGGUUGCGUUU